rnacentral:lncRNA from 1 species
GCUUCCGUUUACAAGAGAGAGGGGGGAGACAUACAUAGCAAACCCUAGCUCCGCCCUUCUACCGCUUCGACGCCGCGCUGGUGUCACAGUCACCAUCAACGUCUUAACCCCAACAGUGGCAACGGCAAGAAGGGAUUUGAGGGUUUAGAACUGAUUUGAGGGAUUUGAGGGUUCAGCACAGAUUUGAGGGAUUUGAGGUUCCGCAAAAAGAAGCGAAAGGAAGAGAGAGAGAGAGUGGAAUCGGAAUUGGUUUUCCGGUGUAUAGGGUUUGGAUUAUGUGCUAAAGACUGAGCUUUGCCAUCUCAAUUCUCAAAGACCAGAUCUUGCUGAUCAAACUGGAACUUGGCGCUAUGUUUUAAGUAUCUGGAUACUUCAUGGGUCAGCAAGGAGCUUGGGGGUGUCUCAAGUACAUCCCUCAUUGCUCAUCAUAGCUUUGUUGAUGGCCUACCGUUUACGCUACAAAGGCUAUCUGAGGUGAAUGUGCUAUUAUUUGUUAAUCGUUGUGUGAUUCAUCUUUUUUUUUUCCUUAAACCACAUGCUACCUUUUAAUUUGGUGUAAAUUCUUGUAUUUAAUUUGGCAUGGACGUGGAAGCCACCGAGAAACCAUCAGAAUCAAGUCCCAUGACAACAGUUAAUGCAUCUAACCUUGAGCUUGAUACUGUAUAAAAAAAAACCAAAAGCUUUCGCUAACCAGGAAAUCGCAGAGAGCAGCUAGUGGGCUUUAGUUGUUUGGAGCUUAUGAGUGACGACGGUGGUUGAAUAGUCCAGGAAAUCACCGAAAAUCGCAGAGAGUUGGUGGGUUUUAGUUUUGGGCCAGAAUGGAAACUUUGUCGCUAAAGGGUUAGUCGCGAAAGGUCCAGUUUCAUGUUGCGGUAGAUGGGACUGUAACUUGAAGCAGAGAUGGUCAUAACAAAAAAUCCAUCUUUUCCUAGCAACCAGUAAUGGCAUGAUUGCAAGACGGUGAUGGUUAGGGUUGGGGUUUAAGUUUCGGUGAUGAUCCAGAGAUGAUCUAGACUUCAAGUAAUUAAGAAUUUGCAAUUUAUUUCUUGUUUUGUGACCGAAGAGAGGGUAAUGGUUGGGGUUUCAGUUCCGGCGACGGUGGGCUAGGGUUCUGGAAAUGAAGGUGGAGGGUAGGAAAGAAGAUGAUGGACGGCCCAAUGAUGUAUUUAAUUAAAAAGAAAUCAAUGAGAGAUGGACAACACAUACUCUGUUUUUCUAUAUAUUACAAUAAUACAUAAAUAAAUAUAUAAAUUGUAUUGAUGAAAUGGGAAAAGACAUUAAUAC